UGAUAGCGUUGAAGGAAAAGAUUACUAUAGAAAUGAAAGCAGAGAUGUAUAAGUUUCUACAGAGAGCUUUCUGGAGCGAAUGUCAAGUUUUGAAACUGACGGCAG
rfam:Oribacterium sinus F0268 genomic scaffold SCAFFOLD3, whole genome shotgun sequence.